rnacentral:rRNA from 1 species
UACGUAGGGGGCAAGCGUUGUCCGGAAUCAUUGGGCGUAAAGCGCGUGUAGGCGGCUCGGUAAGUCUGCUCUGAAAGUCCAAGGCUCAACCUUGGGAUGCGGGUGGAUACUGCCGGGCUCGAGUCCGGAAGAGGCGAGUGGAAUUCCUGGUGUAGCGGUGAAAUGCGCAGAUAUCAGGAGGAACACCAAUGGCGAAGGCAGCUCGCUGGGACGUGACUGACGCUGAGACGCGGAAAGCGUGGGGAGCAAACAGG